AAAUUUAAUUCAACUCUAACUAACUAAACAUAGUCUAGAGCAUAAUAAUCCAAACAAUUUAAUUCAUAAUUAGUUAAAUUUAUGCCAAUUAUCAUCAUCAGCGGGAAUAUCGACUCAGCUAGCUGAAACUUGAGAAUAGAACAAGUCAGCUUACGGGGUUUUGUAUACCCUUACCCAAUUUUUAUAGUAAAGAUUUUCACAAGAUCUUGAAAAUAAUCUUAUAUUAAACCAAGGUUUUGCUGUUUAGUUUUCAGUUAACAUUGGCUCACUCCCAAAUUUUCAUAAAUUUUAUCACCGAUAGAUGCAACAUCUGUACAGACAACAGAUGGAAGCACAUUUUAGUUGAUUGCAGUAACCUGAGUCAGGUUACCUGACAGAUACAGAAAGAUCCCAGAUAAUGAGACUACUGUGGAAUAGCUAAUUAAAUGAUUUUCAAUCUUCCUUAAGGGAUCUAAUCCAAUAGUAAUUCAAGAUGAUUUUGGGAGUUUUUUUAAUUGAUAUUUUACGAAAGAAAACUGAAUUAAGUAAAUUGAUAAUUAAAGAAAUCAAAAUGAAAUUCAAAUUGAAUUAACUUAGGGAUCGUUGAUAAAUUUAUCUCAUUAUCUGGGAUCUUUCUGUAAUGGGACAGACUGAAAAUAGCUUAUUUUCACUACUUUUCUUUAUUUUCAGAGCUAAAGCUUUAGGAAUAAGAUUGAACAAUGAAUGUUUGAAGUAAUAAAUUAUCAAAAAUAAUUUAUAUAAUCGAAAGUAACUUGUUUAGUUAAAUCUUCAAAGGAACAACAAUUUAUUACUUUUGCUGACUAGUAGGAAGAUCUUUGCACUCAAUAUCAUUAACAGAUAAACCAUUAAUAUCAAGCUCGUAACCAAAAUGUUUUCACCAAUUAAUAAUUUUAUCUAUUGAUACCUCAGACCAGGAACUGUUUACCCAUACAAGAGCCGCACGGAGUAUGGACAAUGUUAGAUUUCAUCAUGCUCAGAAUGUCCAAUCUAUAAUUGAUAAUGCUGAUCAUAAUUUGCUUUUUCAUCAAGCUUAUUCACCUUUGUUGAACCCUACCGCAGGAAUGUUUAAUCGCUUAAAACACUAUGUUAAAUUGUUUGUAUUAACCGUAAUUAACCGAUGAGGUAUUUACUAGUGUUAAAUUAGCAUCACAAGUUAUCUCCGAAGAUAAUUGUAAAAGUUAUUACACUCACAUGCUCUCAUAUUUACCAAAAUAUUUGAAUGAAGAAAUUAUCUUGAACUAAUUUGACCAUGAAUAAAAAUUUCACCCAAAUUUACGAACUUCUCAAAGUAAAUGAACCAUUUCUCCCAAGAGUACAUUCGUUUUCUGCUUAAAAUCACUGUACUCAGGAAAAAGUGGUGGAAAAAGCCAGUCCCUAUUGAUCCCGUUAGCCCCAGACGACCUGUUAGGCCACUCAGCUGGAGUUGAACAGUCGGAGUUAGCUCCUCAAUCAAUAUCGACAAUUCAUUGGCAGCUAUCUGUUUAUUCGACCUUCUCAAAGACCAAUACAUCGAAUUGAGCUGCGCCCUUUGCGCUUUCAGCAUUGUUUUUAUCUAGAAGCAUUUGUAUGCUUUUCUACGAGUAUUUGUUUUCUAUAUACAUCCAAAUUCCGAAAUCGAAAAGUAGACAGCUAAUUUCAUUGUAUUGGUCUUUGAGAAGGUCAAAUUUACUACAAAGCUACUCAUGAAUUGUUGAUAUCGAUGAUCAGUUCGCAAACUUUCCGUCUUAGUUAUUCUUCAAAUCUUUAAUUUUGUUUACAAUGGAUCCACAUUGAUCACAGUACAGUCACCAUUGAGAUAAUGCACUCUUUUUUCAAUGGUCCCUAUCAAUGAAGAUUUAUAUCGUCUUUUGAAUUUCGUCAAAUUUCGAUUCGAUUUCUUUUAUUAUCAAUUGACAUUCAGUAAACUCUCACUUUUUUGACAAAAAAACAGCUCCAUCUAGUUGAAAUUAGUAGGCAACUGAGCGAUCAUAAUUUUUUGUUUUUCGAUUUUUGAUCUUUUUAUUGAUGAUAAUUAUUUAUUUUUGAGUUUUUACUCAAAGUAUAAUGAACUAAUCAUGAUUAGCCCUAAUUAAGAAGUAAGUCGAUAAAUUCUGUGAUAAUUUCAUCGAAAUCUGCACUAUUAAAUCUUGAGAUGGCGCUGAUUUGCUUCUCAAAAUAAGUGAGAGUUUACUGUAAUUUAAUUUUCUUUCGUGAAAUAUUCAUCAAAAAACUCACGAAAUCAACUUAAAGCAACAUUUCAGGUUAAAUUUGAUCUAUUAAGGAAGAUUUAAAAUUAUGAAUUACGCUGCCCAAAGAAGAGUGAAAAUUUGCUAUUCUUAGUGCGGUGCUUUAUAUCGAUGGUGACUGUAUACACACGAUCAGACGUCAGUAGAUCAGAUCUGUCAGGUCAGAUCAGUAGAUCUAAAGAUUAGAUCUAAAGAGUAGUAAAGAUUAUAUUUAUAUUAUAAUAGAUAUUUCAAGAUUUGUUGUUUUUCAUCAGGAUAAAGUGGAAUUGGUUGUAUCUCCUUGAGUUUACCCGAUGACAAUAUUGAACCCAAAAUGGUUAACUCGAGUUUCUCAUUUUCAUGAUCACUAUUUUAAUCAUCCCGGAAACUGUCAAUAUCAUCUUUUACCUGAAACUGGGUCUUACUGAUCAACUUUAACUCGCGCUUCUUCAACAUCAUCUUUAAACCAAGAUUCAGUCUUUUUUUAUUGUCAUUUGAUUGUGAGGUAAUAUUAUGUUUUAUUGUAAUAUUUAUUACCUUUUAUUACCUGCUUUUUAAUCAGCUUUCAAUCCAUUAUUUUACAUUGAAA